GAUCAUGGCUCAGAGUGAACGCUGGCGACGUGGCUAAGACAUGCAAGUCGAGCGAGAAGGUGCCUUCGGGUACCGGAAAGCGGCAAACGGGUGCGUAACACGUAAGUAACCUGCCCUUAAGACGGGAAUAGCUUGAUGAAAUUGAGAUAAUGCCCGAUAUCAAAUUCUUCCGCAUGGAAGAAGCUUGAAAGGUUUGUGAUGACGCUUAAGGAGGGGCUUGCGGCCUAUCAGCUUGUUGGCGGUGUGAAAGACCACCAAGGCUAAGACGGGUAGCCGGUCUGAGAGGAUGGACGGCCACAUUGGAACUGAGAUACGGUUCAAACACCUACGGGUGGCAGCAGUUUCGAAUCAUUCACAAUGGGCGAAAGCCUGAUGGUGCGACGUCGCGUGGGAAGGAUGAAGGUCUUCGGAUUGUAAACUCCUGUCAUUGGUGAGACAAAAGGUCGGUGAAGAGUCGAUUUUGAGUUAAGCCGAAGAGGAAGCAGUGGCAAACUCCGUGCCAGCCGCGGC
rnacentral:rRNA from 1 species